UGAUUAACGCUGGCGGCAUGCCUAAUACAUGCAAGUCGAACGGAGUAGCAAUACUUAGUGGCGAACGGGUGAGUAACACGUAUCUAAUCUACCAUUUAGUGGGGAAUAACUGUUGGAAACGACAGCUAAUACCGCAUAAUAUUGCUGGAUAAUUUCCAGUAAUGAAAGGAGCUUUCAAGCUCCGCUGAUUGAUGAGGAUGCGACGCAUUAGCUAGUUGGUAGGGUAAUGGCCUACCAAGGCAAUGAUGCGUAGCCGAUCUGAGAGGAUGAACGGCCACAUUGGGACUGAGACACGGCCCAAACUUCUACGGAAGGCAGCAGUAGGGAAUUUUUCACAAUGGGCGAAAGCCUGAUGGAGCAAUGCCGCGUGACUGAUGAAGGUCUUCGGAUUGUAAAGGUCUGUUGUAAGGGAAGAAAUGGUAAAACAGGAAAUGGUUUUAUCUAUGACGGUACCUUACCAGAAAGCCACGGCUAACUAUGUGCCAGCAGCCGCGGUAAUACAUAGGUGGCAAGCGUUAUCCGGAUUUAUUGGGCGUAAAGGGUGCGUAGACGGUUUUGCAAGUCUGAGGUUAAAUUUAGGAGCUCAACUCCUAAUCGCCUUGGAAACUACAAGACUAGAGUAUAGGAGAGGUUAGUGGAAUUCCAUGUGUAGCGGUGGAAUGUGUAGAUAUAUGGAGGAACACCAGUGGCGAAG
rnacentral:rRNA from 1 species